rnacentral:rRNA from 1 species
UACGUAGGGGGCAAGCGUUGUCCGGAAUUAUUGGGCGUAAAGCGCGCGCAGGCGGUUUCUUAAGUCUGGGGUUUAAGUUCGGGGCUCAACCCCGUAUCGCCCUGGAAACUGGGAGGCUUUGAGUGCAGGAGAGGAAAGUGGAAUUCCACGUGUAGCGGUGAAAUGCGUAGAGAUGUGGAGGAACACCAGUGGCGAAGGCGACUUUCUGGCCUGUAACUGACGCUGAGGCGCGAAAGCGUGGGGAGCAAACAGG